CCGCCUGUAGCUCAAUGGUUAGAGCGGUUGCCUUAUAUGCAAUUGGCUGGGGGUUCGAGUCCCUCCAGGCGGACCA
rnacentral:tRNA from 1 species